rnacentral:misc_RNA from 1 species
CAGAGUAAACUUGGUGGGUUGUUGCUGGCUCUCUAUUGAGCAUGUGCACACCUGUCAUCUUUAUCUUUCCACCAUGUGCACCUUUUGUAGGACUGGAAUAGACAAUACGCCUAGUCUCUUGUAGACUAUUGGGAGGUUGCUGAAUUUAUCGGCUCUUUCUCGUUCUGGCUGUCUAUUUCAUUCUCUACGAUAUUUAUAUAUACACCAUGUAUGUCAAUGAACGCAUCAAUGGGCCCACAAAGCCUAUAAACUAUAAUA